CUAGUUCAGCUUUACAUCAGAAACAGGCCAUUUCUCUCAUGCACAGGAUGUCUUGUCCAGAAGGGUGGGGUUGGAGAAGAAGCUUAUGGUACAAAGAGAGCACAUGAAAUAUGGAGAGAGACCAAAAAAGAUGGAAUUCUAUUGACACCGUGCAUGGGACUCCAUGAGGCUAAGUGAGGGCAAGGGAAGUGUCUGAAAUCAUGUGGAGUGUCAAGCCAACCAUCACGAAGAUGUUUCUGCACACUUCUGCUCUGAACACACAUGGUAGUAUCAAGUGACAGCUGGUCGCAUGCACUCUGAGUCUGAGAGUGCAGAGAAUGUGAAAUGGCUUUGAACACUUGAAAAUAUCACCUUCACACACCAUCUAGUCACUCUAUCUGUUGGUUUGUUUGAGGGCAACAAACCGUUUUCACCAUCUGCUAAACCAGGCAAUACUUUGUUUUCUAGAUUAUCUAUAUUUUUAGAGUAUACUGUUUGUU